CAAUGGCAUCUAUUAAAGUUGUUGCGGUUGAAAAGAUCGUAGUUGGAUUUCUGCCGAGGACGACCGGUCCGCCUUCUGGGUGAGUAUCUGGCUCGGCCUGGGCAUCUUCUUGGAGAGCGUAUUUGCACUUGACUGUGUGGUGCGGUAUCGAGGACUUUUACUUUGAGGAAGUUAGAGUGUUUCAAGCAGGCAUACGCCUUGAAUAUCUCAGCAUGGAAUAAUAAGAUAGGACCUCGGUUCCAUUUUGUUGGUUUCUAGAGCUGAGGUAAUGAUUAAUAGGGAUAGAUAGUUGGGGGCAUUCGUAUUUAACUGUCAGAGGUGAAAUUAUUGGAUUUGUUAAAGACGGACUACUGCGAAAGCAUUAGCCAAGGAUGUUUUCAUUGAUCAGGAACGAAAAUUAGGGGAUCGAAGAUGAUCAGAUACCGU
rnacentral:rRNA from 1 species